UACUGGAGUAUCUCUGUGUGCACCUUUUGGCUGAGGACCGCCGCAGACUCGGUGCUGAUACGUACAGCCAAAAGUUUGAUUACCGGCCAGCUGCCAAGUACAUCUCACCUGAGACCAAGGCUCAGUUUAGUAGAGGAUCACGUGACUACUGUGUUGAAGUUUUGGACCCAUUUUUGAGAGAGCCCACAUGUUCCCAAGAAACUCAUGAUUUCAUGUUUUGAUAUGGGAAUGGGAAACUGUGCUAUUAUCUAUACGUUUGCAGCCCUGGUAACUCUAUGGAUGAAAAUGUCAUGUCCAAUAAUUUAGAUUACGACGAUGAAGAUCCUCUGCUUGACAUGUGAUUCAACACCUUUACCUGGAUAUUGGACAAGUUGAGGCAUACUCAAUAGAUUCUCCACAUCAUAGAGAAUGGCACUUGUUUGCUAGAGUGGUCAAUGAUGCCGAAUGUGAGGAAUAUAUCUAAUUUUUAAAAAAUGCAAAAGUAACUGCUCAUUUCAUUACAAUGUCUGGAAUCCCACAGCCGUACCUGAGCAUAUUAAUUAAAGUAUCAAAAUAUUUGGUUGAAAAUUUACUCUGUUGUGCAAGUGGUAACAUGAAAGUAUAACAUACAUUUUGCCAUCCCUGGAGGGAUAAAAACAACGUCAAUUGGAUAUUUAAAGAAAUCUCCCUUUAACCAUUGGAUAAUUUGAAUGGUGUGCUAAUUUAGUUAGGAAACCACAUAAUUGCCUGAAGCAUGAAAUCCCACACACACACACAUUCUCAAAUUUGUACCUAUCACGCGAAAUGUAUCCUACUUAGACCAAAUGGUGAUGUGAUGCUUUGCAGUUAACUGAUACAAUUCACAUUCAGUCCAACAUAUAACUUUUAAGGCAAAAAUGAAUUAAGUAAAAGAAAUCCGCAAAGUAUAUUUCAGUGAAGAUUUCUAAUAUCGGAUUGUUCACUGCAAAUUGGAUUUUAUUCUGAUAGAAAAAUUUGCAAGCUUAAAAAUUGCUGCAGGCGGAAUUGGUCUGUGACAGCAAUAGAUUCAAGUUUGUUCAUGAUAUUUGAGUUCCUAUAUUAAUCUCAUGUGAAUUCCCAAUCUUUAUUUCACUGUCUUGUAAAAUGAUUAGAAAGGAGUCAGAAUGGGUGCUUUUUUUUUAACUUCUUAGCUUGUUAUUUGUGAGAAUUUUUUAAAGCUGAAUGAUUGUUAAGUCUGUUUGAUGAUUUCCGUAUUCCUGAAUGUCAAUUGGCACCAGAAUGAAAUUAACAUUGUACUCUGUGAAAUUGACCCCACAGAGCUCACUGAAUCUCUCAGGGCAGCCUUCUUCUUCAUUUCUACUUAGUGUUGUAGUGUGCUGACCAUUUUUGUUAUUUUAAUGUGUCCAUUUCUGUUGCUGAGCUCCAUUAAGAAGGCUUAGUAACUGUUGCGAAUUCCAAACUUUCAUCCCUUAGGUUUCUGCCCCCGGAGAUCUCAUACUGUCAUACUCAGUUCACCAAGGCUGUCACUUCCAAUCCUGGAUCUGCAGACACUUUUCAGGGGUCCACAAAAUAAUUGAGAUAGACUUGAUGUCAGCCAGGAGGCAAAAGUAGAAAGCAUUUGCCACAUAAGCAACACAGAGUUGUUUGGUUGUUUCACCAAGGAGCCAAGUGCAUGUGUAUGAAGGCUAAGGGAAGCACAAAGAUUGGCAGAAAGAUCCAGAGUUACUGAGGAAGAUUGGGAUGCAAGGCUUCUCCAAAAGGGGGCAGUUUUUAAAAUAAUAUUUAAUUACUGUCUCCUGUGUAGUGAGAAACAGGCACACCCAUUUGUAUGUAAAUACCUGUUUCUUGAAAGUAUUCAAGUUAUCUACAGAGGGUGUCGAUUUACAUACCAGAACUGAUGGAAAGCUUUGAUCUUACUUGCCUAAGAUCCAAGAUAAAGGUGUGUCAAGUUCUCAUUGGAGAGCUACUAUCUGCUGACUAUGUCAGACUGGUAUUCGAUGUUGGAGAAACGUCUUUAGAGGCAAGACUCUGCCAGACACAUAUGGAGAUUGGUUUGACCGUCAGCAUUAGGAAUCCAAGUAUCAUAGUCCAGAAUGUGCCAUAUUGUCAUGGAUCAGGAUUGACAACAUGAAGUUGGAGGUGUUUGAUAACUUCACAUAUCUAGGCUGUGCAAUCACUAACAAUCUGUCUCUUGAUGCUAAGAUCAACACACACCUCAUAAAAACUGCAACUUCUUAUGUCCAAGUUGAGUAAGUGUAGAACAACAGCAAGCUGACUGAGGAAACACAAACUGCGAGUCCACCAAACUUGCAUCCUUAGCGAACUUUUCUACAGUGGUGAGAUCUAGACUAGAGGCAGGAGAUGGGGGCUGAACAGUUUCCACCUUCACUAUUUCAGAUAUAUUCUUGGCACCUCUUGGCAGGACAAGGUCACCAAUUUAGCGUAGACACAUUGUGAAGUCAACAAUGUCUGUAUUGGCUCAUGCAGUUGUGCUUGUUAGAAUAAUGAUGGCUGAAAAUCUGUUGUAUAAUGAACUGGCCUCUGGGACACAACCUCCUGGGUACCUUAACCUCUGCUACAAGGACACUUCCAAGUGAGAAAUGAAAAUAUUAGCUGAUAACUGGGAGACAGUCGCUGCCAGUUGGGAACUCUGGAAGCAGAUGAUUUUGAAGGGCAUCAGAAGAGGCAAGCAGAAACAAAAAUCUCAAGAAACAGGCCUAAAGAAAACAGAGGCCAACAAAUUGUACACAUUAGCUCACUGCCAUCUUCUUCAGUAUUGCAAUGAGGAGCUCCUGAGCCAUACCAGACAAUACUUAACACAAGCACCAAAGCAUAAACUAUUGUCUUAUGAUAUAAAUCACUGCCAUCAUGGAAAAAGUCUUUGAAUAUAGUGCUUUCAUGUUAUAAGUAUUAUACAGUAUAAUUUAGAUCAGAAGUCUGAUUAUUAAUUUCAAUGAAUUUCAACCAGAUUGUUUGAGAACCUAAAGUAACCUGCAAUCUUAUUUCACUGUUUGUAAUUCGAGGUCACAGAGUCUUGAGUUUUUAAUCAGGUUCCAAACUGAAGUACCAAAUUUGUUUUGCUUUAUUACAAAGCAAAAAUAUUUGCAGAGCAACAUAAUUCUUACACAAUUUUUAGCUGCUGAACUCGCAGAGUUUUUAAAGAUUAAAUGUACAUUUGUA